GCCGACGUAGCUCAGUGGUAGAGCAGCGCACUCGUAAUGCGCAGGCCGUGGGUUCGAAUCCCACCGUCGGCUCCA
rnacentral:tRNA from 1 species